GUUGCUAGGCAACAGGAAUCUUUCAGUCCCGUAUCGUGUUCCAGGACCACUACCACAUGUGCUGUCUGUCACUGGCUGAAACAUGCUUAUGCGGUGUGGGACUGUUCUUUCCAAAGGUGAAGUAUUUACCCAAGCCCUGCGCUGGACCCCAGGGGCUACAAGAAGUUGGACCUGUUCCUGCUCCGUAUAGGGAGAUGGAGAAUAAACAAGCAAACCUGCGUGUACGAUAACUUUGAUAGGCGGCACAGGGACACUCCCCAAGGAGGCGGGAAUUUGAGCUGGGGUCUGAACAGCAAGUGGGAACCAGCCAGGCAGAGAUCUGGGGCCAGAAAGUUCUGGCAGAGGGACAAAUGCAGGGGUGGAUUCACGGGACAAGAGAGGGACACUUGGGCUGCAGUGAAUGAAGUGGAGAGUGUAAGGUGGGAUCUGAGAAGUGAGUCAGGGUCAGACUUACCGAGCACUGUAGGCCAAAUAAAGGGUUUGAGUGUUAUUCUGAGUGUAACGAGAGGUCAGGGAACAGCUACACAAGGACAAAACCACUGGGACUUGCACGAGCAGGAUGAGGAAACCGAGGCUCCCAGGAAGGAGACCGCCUGCCCGCACUGAGGUGUUCUCACAGGAGACUGCGGACGACACUACCUCAUCCCGGCCUACUCUGCUCUCCUCCAGAACACUCCCAGGUAGGGACAACUCGGCCCAGGGUCGGGCUACUCGGGGCUGCUAGAGAUCUCAGCUGGGAUCCUGGCGUCUGGGGAAGGGCCGAGCUCUAAAAAUAACCUGCCCGCCUGAGCCUGAGCCGCCAGCAGGAGCCUGGAGAGCCACGACCGCCUGACUGUGGCAGAUGCCGGCAGCCCUGGCCUGGCCGCGGAGCCCCCUUCUCUGGCAGCUGGCCCCUGGGAUGGGCUGGCGGCAGGUGGCAGCCAGGAAUAUUUGACCCAGGCCCUCGGAGGCACCCAGUCCCCACAGGCGCACACAUACACGGGCCCCAGCCGGGGAUGGGCUGCCUGGAGUGUGGCUGGAGCUGCGGCUGAGCAGGGACAGUAGCCUGGGCUCCUGAAGUGGCCUCCCUGUGCCGGCUUCCCAUCCAGUCGGACAGUGACCAGCCUCGGGCACAGGUAAGGGGCCACUGGCCUGGGUGAGAGAUAGCUGUGGCCAGGGGCUGGGCAGGGGGGGCUCUGGGGGGGGCAGGGG
rnacentral:lncRNA from 1 species